rnacentral:lncRNA from 1 species
GGCCAGUUCAAAAAUUUUAUCUCCACCUGGUGUUUUUCAGAAAAAUGUACAUGCAGUUCUUGUAAAUAAUGUACUUACUUGCUGCCCCAUAACUUGAUCUCGAAGCCUGCUGUUUGUUUGUUUUUGUUUUUUAUUAUUUUUAUGUUUUAUCUUUUUGCAGUUAUUUUUAUUUUUUAUUUAGCCAUUUAUUUCUUUUGCUUAUGCAUUACCUUUGCUAUAGCUGCAUGCAGUCUUUUGUUUGUGCUUAAAGUGUUUAAGUUUGCAUGUGUUACUCUUAUAUAAAUACUAUGUGCUACUAUAUAUGUGCUGAUAUUAGACAUUUGUUUUAAUAUAUCUUGCUUAGCUUUUAUUCUGCAUGUGCUAUCUAUGUAUUAAUAUAUAUAUAUGUGAUGUAUGUAUGUUUGUGUUGUAUGUGUAUCUGAUGUUAUUACAUGUAUGUUUUGUUUAUUAAUAUCAGUCGGUUAAAGAGCUCUUAAGAGCUCAUGUUCUUUGUUAUUAUGUAUACAUGAAACCCGACUUUAAAUAAAGAUUACUUUACUUUACUUUACUUUA